rnacentral:tRNA from 1 species
CCUUCGAUAGCUCAGCUGGUAGAGCGGAGGACUGUAGUUGACACUGACUGGAAGUCAUCCUUAGGUCGCUGGUUCGACUCCGGCUCGAAGGA